ensembl:lncRNA
CACCCCUCCCGGCCCCAUUCCGACCCCGCGGCCAUAAAUCAGAGCUCAGUGGGACGCAGCCAUAUGGGAUCGGCGCGGAGCAACGCCGUCCUGAUGGGUUCCGGCGGCGGAGCGACGCUCCAUCAAAUCCAUGGAGGGGAUGCGAGGUGUCAAUCUUUUAUUCGGGGAGAUAAAGGGGGGGGGGUUCCCUCUGCAUGGGACCACCAGGGACACCCACGGGGGGGGGGUUCUGCAUUGUCCCAAUGGGAUCCCCCGCCUUCCCCAACACAGCCCCAUCCAUUGCCCCACUCCUUAAGGCAAAGAGACCCCAAUGAGAGCCCCCCCCCGUCCCAGAAAUGGAUGGGGAAGGGGGGGGACGGCCUAAAACGCACUUUUUUGGGGGCUGUUUUUUAUAUUGGGGGGGGGGGGAGGUUUGGUGUUUGGGUUAUGGAGAUGAGGGAAAUAAAGGGGGAAUGGGGGGGAGAGGAGGGGAUGAGAGGGAGGGAAAGGAAAUGGGGGGGGAGAGAAAAGGGAAGGGGGAGAAGGGAGAAAGGAGGGGGGGGAAGGGGAAGGAAGGGGGGGGGAAGGGGGGAAGGAAAAGGGGGAAGGAAAAGGGGGAAGGAAAAGGGAAGAAAAGGGGGAAGGAAAAGGGGGAAGGAAAGGGGGAAAAGAGAGGAAAAGAACCCAAAAGGUAAAGGAAAAGAGGAAGAAAAAGGAGAAGUGAAGCGGAAGAGUGAAAAUGAAGGGAAAAGAGAAAGAAAAAGAGAGGCUGAGGACGAUCUCACCUCGGCCGCAGCUCCGACGGCGCGGACGGACCCGGGGGGGGUCGGGGGGGGCUGUGGGGGUCCCGGAGGCUGCGCCGCCGUUCGGGGUCACGCCGGGGAGGGGGGGGGUUGGGGGGGGGGGGAUUCCGCUGUGGGUCCCAACAGCUUCGGAACGGAACCGCCGCGCACCUCCAACGCUCCGCACCCAAACCCACAGCGCUGCCCCCCCCCCCCCAAUUCUCCCCCCCCCCCCUCCACCCUCGGGGGGGUCCCGUCGAGGACGGCCAUUGGUCCGCGCCGCCCACGUGACCGCCCCCGGAUUCCGAUUUCUCCCUCUUUUUCUUUUCUUUUGGCCUUUUCUGCCUUUUUUUUUUGCUGGACGGAUCCCCCCCCCCCCCAUGGACCUCUCCCCCCCCCCCGGGGGGGGCGCACGAGAAGUUUGAGAGGAGCGGCUGCAGAGAGGUGAGAGCCACAGAGCUGAGACCCCCGCAGGGGGCUGAGCCCCCCCCUCACCCCCACACCGAGCUGAGCCCCCCCGGGGUGAUCUGAGCCCCCCAGGAAUGGUCUGAGUCCACCCGACCGACCUGAAGCCCCCCCCAGAAGAUGUCUGAGCCCCCCCCCCCCCCCACCCCAUACCAAUCUGAGUCCCCCCAAACUGAGAUGACCCCCCCAGGAGCGGUCUGAGCCCCCCAGGAAUGAUCCAAACCCCCCCCAGACUGAACUGAGCCCCCCCCCCCCCCCCCCCCCCAGCAGAGGUCUGAACCCUCCAAGACAAACCUGAACCCCAGAAAUGAUCUGAGACCCCCUGACCGACCUGAACCCCCCCAGGAUAUGUCUGAGCCCCCCCAGACCCAUCUGAGCCCCCCAAGAGUGGUUGGAGCCCCCCCAGAUCAAACUGAGCCCCCGCAGACCAAUCUCCCCCCCCCCCCAGUAGUGGUCUCAGCCCCACAGUCCAACCUGAGCCCCCCAGGAGCGAUCUGAGCCCCCCCCCCCCACCGCUGUCUAUAGACAUAGAGGGACCUGGAGUGGGGUGCAGGUGCCUAUGGGGCCCUAUUGCUCCUAUAGUGUAUAUGGCCCUGUUGGCGUAGCACAUAUGGGGCACGGAUAGGCCUAUAGGUACGUGUGCAGAGCUGAGCGUAUGGGGUUUUUAUUUACAUACAGCCCUAUAUGUCGUCUUAUUUCCAGUGCUGUGGGCAGAGCUGGGGGUGGGGUUUGCAUAUGGGCCAUAUGUGGUCCCUAUAGGGUCCGUAGGCUUCUCAGUGUGGGUAUAUGGGUGCCUAUAGGGUCCAUAUGUGGUCCCUAUAGGGUCCGUAGGCUUCUCAGUGUGGGUAUAUGGGUGCCUAUAGGGUCCAUUUGUGGCCCCCAUAGGGUGCAUACCCAUACAGUGCUGUAGGUCUAGGGGGGCUCUGGGGGUCCCAUUCCCCUUUUCCCCCAGGGAAGCACAGAGGGGGGACGGGGGAUGGACGGAUGGAUUGGGAAACCCCAUUGAGUGUUAACCCCCCCCAGUAAAAAAACAACCCCAAACCCACCAAUUUCUGCCCCCAAAAUGAGCAUCCCCGGGGGGAUCCCCCCCGGCCGCAGGUCCUGGCAGGUCACAGCAGCGAUCUGAGCCCCCCCCAGGAGCGAUCUGAGCCCCCCCAGGAGCGGUCUGAGACCAAAACGAGCAUCCCCGGGGGGGGUCCCCCCGGCCGCAGGUCCUGGCAGGUCACAGCAGCGGUCCGUCCCGACCCCUCCUUGCCCCCCCCCCCCAUCCCCCCCCCCGUGCCCUUUUCACCCCACACUGCCCGAGGACAGCCGUGACCCUUUCACCCCCCCCGCCCCGCUCCAUCGCUCCGCCGUCAUUAACGCCGAGCAGCGGAUCCGGAGCCGCUUUGACAGAUGAGAACGCGGGGGUGGGAGGGGGGGGGGGUCGAGGCGGGG